CUCGCGGCCGAUUAGGUAGUUGGUGAGAUAACAGCCCACCAAGCCGACGAUCGGUAGCCGGACUGAGAGGUUGAACGGCCACAUUGGGACUGAGACACGGCCCAGACUCCUACGGGAGGCAGCAGUGGGGGAUAUUGCACAAUGGAGGAAACUCUGAUGCAGCGACGCCGCGUGAGGGAAGACGGUCUUCGGAUUGUAAACCUCUGUCUUUGGGGACGAAAAAAUGACGGUACCUAAGGAGGAAGCCACGGCUAACUAC
rnacentral:rRNA from 1 species